rnacentral:piRNA from 1 species
UGCAAUGGUUACUUCCUUAUACUAAGGGGU